GGGCGGUUAGCUCAGCUGGUUUAGAGCGCCUCGUUUACACCGAGGAGGUCGGGGGUUCGAGUCCCUCAUCGCCCACCA
rnacentral:tRNA from 1 species